UACGGAGGGGGCGAGCGUUGUCCGAAGUUACUGGGCGUAAAGCGCGCGUAGGCGGGUGGGUAAGUCCGCUGUGAAAGCCCGGAGCUUAACUCCGGAGGGUCGGUGGAUACUGCCCAUCUUGAAGGUGCUAGGGGGAGAUGGAAUUACCGGUGUAGCGGUGAAAUACGUAGAGAUCGGUAGGAACACCAGUGGCGAAGGCGGUCUCCUGGAGCAUACUUGACGCUGAGGCGCGAAAGCUGGGGGAGCGAACGGG
rnacentral:rRNA from 1 species